rnacentral:rRNA from 1 species
AGACAGAGGGUGCAAACGUUGUUCGGAAUUACUGGGCGUAAAGCGCGUGUAGGCGGCUCUGCAAGUCGGGUGUGAAAUCCCAUGGCUCAACCAUGGUAGUGCACUCGAAACUGCAGGGCUAGAGUCCUGGAGAGGAAGGUGGAACGCUUGGUGUAGAGGUGAAAUUCGUAGAUAUCAAGCGGAACACCGGUGGCGAAGGCGGCCUUCUGGACAGUGACUGACGCUGAGACGCGAAGGCGUGGGGAGCAAACAG